AUUUAGAGCUCGGUUAUUGAGUUCCAUGGGGGAACUGGUUGAUGAAUUUGUGGAAGGAAUUCGUUUGCCUCUAACCUCAGGCGGUGAUGGCAACUUCUUAGUCACUGUCGGUUUUGGCACCCCUAAACGUGAUUUUACCUUGCUUUUUGAUACCGGAAGCGGUACCACUUGGACUCAAUGCGAGCCUUGUUCUGCGGGUUGCAAUCAACAGAUCCCCAUUUUUGAUCCCUCCACAUCUUCUUCUUUUUCAAA
rnacentral:misc_RNA from 1 species